rnacentral:tRNA from 1 species
GCCGAUGUAGCUCAGCUGGAAGAGCGGCUGACUUGUAAUCAGCAGGUCGAGGGUCCGACUCCCUCCAUCGGCU